UCCCGCCUAGCUCAAUCGGAUAGAGCGUCAGACUCUUAACAUAGUCCGUUGGGCGUAAUUUGGAAUCUGAAGGCUGCGAGUUCGACCCUCGCGGUGGGCU